rnacentral:sRNA from 1 species
UCAUUAUCUAAAUCAUCUUCUAUCUCUCUAAAACACUAUUCUCUUAACUUCUCUACUAUCUCUCUAAGUAAUCUAACUCCUUGAUAAUUUGUUGGACGAUCAGGAGGUACCUAGACGAUCACUGCGUCAAGCUCUACAACUUCAACAGAUCAAUUCACUGUUUAGAGCAAGUCAAAAACCCCUUUUCUUUGGUAUUUUAGGGUUCUUGAUCAUACAAGGCGAUUAUGUUUUUGCAUGGGUCAAGAAUUUCUCUUCAUUGAUUCUUGAUUCAAUUGAAGUUCUAAAGUUGGUCUCCAAUCACCAAUCAGUGAUUUGUAGGUGUUUUAAAAGUUCCUUGUUUUGCAAGAAUUCAGUGGAGUGUUUUGAGAAAUUGGGCAGUCGGGUUAGAGAGCAAGAUGACGUGUCCGUCGAGCAAGCAUUAGGCGGAGUGGCUUCUGAUGUAUAGUGUUUUAGACUGUUUUCUUUAGAGUACUUAUAGUCUCUU